rnacentral:ncRNA from 1 species
UGUCAUAUUCCCAAGAAAAGCUCGAACGACUUUGGACAAGAGGGUACUUAUAUCCGAAAUCAACACAGGUGGGUAGGUAGAGAAUACCUAGGGGCGCAGGACAACUCUCUUUAAGGAACUUGACAAAAUUGCCCCAUAACUUCGGGAGAAGGGGUGCCUCCUAACAAAGGGAGUCGCAGUGACCAGGCUCGGGCGAUUGUUUACCAAAAACACAGGUCUCCAUAAUGUCGUAAGACCAUGUAUGGGGGCUGACACCUGUCCAAUGCCAGAAGGUCAAGAAAGUUGGUGACCUGAUGAUAGGGGAGCCGACGAUUGAAGCCCUGGUGAAUAACAGACAUAACUAUAACAGUCCUAAAGUAGCAAAAUUUCUUAUCAGGUAAGUUUUGACCCACACAAAAGGCAUAAAAAUCUAGGCACUGUCUCAGAGAGGCUCGGUGAAAUACACAUAUCUGUGAAGAUAUAGACUACCUGCACCUAUACAGAAAGACCCUAUGAAGCUUUACUGUUCCCUCAGAUUGGCUUUGGGCAUUUCCUGCGCAGCUUAGGUGAAAGGAAAAGAAGGCCUCCUUCCGUGAGGCCCGAGGCAUCAGUGAGAUACCACUCUGGAAGUCCUAGAAUUCUAACCUUAUGUUAAAACCUAUGGGCCAAGGGACAGAAUCUAUAGAGCGUAGGCCUCCCCAAAGGUAAUGGAGGUGUGCAAAGGUUUCUUCGAACUGGACAGAGAUUAGCCUUCAAGUGCAAAGGCAGAAGGGAUAUUGACUGUAAGACCCACCCGCCAAGCAGGGACAAAAGUCAGCCUUAGUGAUCCGAUAGUGCCGAGUGGAACGGAUGUCACUCAACAGAUAAAAGUUACUUUAUGGAUAACAUGAUGAUCUUCUCCAAGAGCGCACAUCGAUCGGAAGGUUUGCUACCUCAAUAUCGGCUCUUCACCACCCGGGGAUGUAGUAUGUUCUAAUGGUUGGGUUGUUAGUCCAUUAAACCGGUACGUGAGUUGAGUUCAGAACGUCGUAAGACAAUUCAAGUAUGUGAAUUUUUU